AUUUCUAUUGUCCUUGUUUCUUUCUAAAUCACUGAUGGUGUUAAUUUCUGUCUUGUUAGUACUAAUUUGAAGAGCCCAUAGCACUACUGGAGCUGGACACAAGUAAUGGAGUUUUAUUGCCUUUUUAUGAUCCAGACACUAACAUUGUGUAUCUCAGUGGCAAGGGUGACAGCAGUAUUCGGUAUUUUGAGAUCACAGAGGAGCCUCCCUAUGUGCAUUACAUCAGCACAUUCAGUAGCAAGGAGCCACAGAGAGGAAUGGGCUUCAUGCCCAAGAGAGGAGUGGACGUCAGCAAGUGUGAGAUUGCCAGGUCAGUUUUGCAUACUGGUUGAUUAGGAAAAUGUACAGUGUACAGAAAUACCAUAUAUCUAUAUUACCAUUAAAAAGUUUCCGGUCAGUGUUUUAAAGUUAUAUUUAGCAGGGACACAUUAAAUUGAUGAAAAGUGACAUUAAAGUUAUUUGUAAUGUUACAAAAGAUUUCUAUUUCAAAUAAAUUUUGUUCUUUUAAGCUUUGAGCAUUGAGCAUUCCUGAAGCUGAACCUUUAUUAUUUCUCAUAGAUUAUAUAAACUCCAUGAAAGAAAGUGUGAGCCUAUUAUGAUGACAGUACCCAGAAAGGUAAGCACAUACUCUUUGUUUAGGGUUAUUUCAAACCUGAACCACUAUGAACACAAAAUUGAAGUAUUGAGAGAGAGUUGAUUAUAUGAGUUGAUUAUAUGAUGAUGAAGAACAGCGGCAUGUGAUUUAGUACUGUCCUGAGUAAGAUAUUUUACAUAACAGAUGUUUACAUAUAGUCCACAAGAAAAAAAAUAAAAUAAAAAAAUAACCCCCUUUAAACGUUUGGGAACCCCUGGUCCUUAAAGGGUUAGUUCACCCAAAAAUUUAAUUAGGCUGUGUUUACUUACCCCAGAGGCAUCCUAGGUGUAUAUGGCUUUCUUCUUUCAGAUGAAUCUAGUCUGUUAUAUUAAAAAACUGUCUUGGCUAUUCCAAAGCUCUAUCAUUGCAGACAGCAGGGGGUUGCAGUGCUUCAGUCCAAAAAGAAGUUAAAUAAAAAAAGCACCCCAUCCAUAAAAAAAAGUAAGUCUCUACAUCCGGGGGGGGAACGAAUCGAUGCAUUUUUGUAAGAAAAAUAUCCAUAUUCAAAAAGCAAUAAUCACUUUAAUGUAGCUUGCGCUCACUGUUGUAAACGGAAGCAGUUCUGGGCCGAUGACGUAUGGAGGUCAGCUUUGCACAUGCGCCACUCAGAAGUAAUGCACGCAGAAAUGCAGUGAAGAGAUCAAAACAAAACAACGGUCACGAAUUAGAAGUAAAAACGAGGAUUUGUAAAGAAGAAUGUCAGAGGAUUUCAAUAUAAGCCAAGAGGAGACUGGUUUUCCUUUGCUAAAGUAAGGAAAUUUUGCUUCCUAUGAUCCUGUAAUAAAACGUUGGUUUUCACAAGACUCACUGGCACUGCAACACUGCAACACCUGCUGACUGCAAUGAUAGAGCUUGGAAUAGCCAGGACAAGUUUCAAUAUAACUCCGACUGGAUUCGUCUGAAAGAAGAAAGUCAUAUACACCUAGGAUGCCUCUGGGGUGAGUAAAACUUUCAUUUUUGGAUGAACAAACCCUUUAAAAGUGUAUAUGUUCUUCCCAACCAGUGAAAACGU
rnacentral:lncRNA from 1 species